rnacentral:rRNA from 1 species
AGUGAACGCUGGCGGCGUGCUUAACACAUGCAAGUCGAACGAGAACGGGUUAUAGCUUGCUAUAAUUGUCAGCUAAGUGGCGCACGGGUGAGUAAUGUAUAGGUAAUAUGCCUCUUACUAAGGGAUAACAAAUGGAAACGUUUGCUAAUACCUUAUACUCCUUAUUAACAGAAGUUAAUAAGGGAAAGAUUUAUUGGUAAGAGAUUAGCCUGUAUUGUAUCAGUUAGUUGGUGGGGUAAUGGCUUACCAAGACUAUGACACAUAACUGGUUUGAGAGGAUGAUCAGUCACACUGGAACUGAGACACGGUCCAGACUCCUACGGGAGGCAGCAGUGGGGAAUAUUGCACAAUGGACGAAAGUCUGAUGCGGCAACGCCGCUUGGAGGAUGACACAUUUCGGUGCGUAAACUCCUUUUAUAUGAGAAGAUAAUGACGGUAUUAUAUGAAUAAGCACCGGCUAACUCCGUGCCAGCCGCCGCGGUAA